rnacentral:rRNA from 1 species
GACCCGCAUCACAAACUCAGUAUUAAGAAUGUAACGCAAACUCAGUCUGUCUAAACAAAUAACAACUUUCAACAACGGAUCUCUUGGCUCUCGCAUCGAUGAAGAACGCAGCGAAAUGCGAUAAGUAAUGUGAAUUGCAGAAUUCAGUGAAUCAUCGAAUCUUUGAACGCACCUUGCGCUCCUUGGUAUUCCGAGGAGCAUGCCUGUUUGAGUGUCUUGAAAUCAUCAACCCCUUCGGUUUUGCGACUGACGCGGGUUGGACUUGGGGGGUUUGCUGCUGAAAGGCGGCUCCCCUUAAAUGUUUCGGUCAGGCCUGUAGGUCGACUUUGAUUGGGUGUUGUAUUAUCCUCGCUCCUGAAAGUCUCCUCUUUUGUGCCCUUCCACGACCUGCCUAUGGAGUGGCGGUCAAACUUUUCUGACAUCUGACCUCAAAUCAGGUAGGACUACCCGCUGAACUUAAGCAUAUCAAUAAGCGGAGGA